UACGUAGGUGGCAAGCGUUGUCCGGAUUUACUGGGCGUAAAGAGCGCGCAGGCGGUCGUUCAAGUUGCGUGUGAAAGCCCCCGGCUCAACUGGGGAGGGUCACGCGAUACUGAUCGACUCGAAGGCAGGAGAGGGAAGUGGAAUUCAUGGUGUAGCAGUGAAAUGCGUAGAGAUCAUGAGGAAGACCAGUGGCGAAGGCGGGUCUCUGGACAGUUCCUGACACUGAGGCACGAAGGCCAGGGGAGCAAACGGG
rnacentral:rRNA from 1 species